rnacentral:rRNA from 1 species
GAUGAACGCUGGCGGCGUGCUUAACACAUGCAAGUCGAACGAAGCAUUUAGGACAGAUUACUUCGGUUUGAAGUUCUUUAUGACUGAGUGGCGGACGGGUGAGUAACGCGUGGGUAACCUGCCUUGUACUGGGGGAUAGCAGCUGGAAACGGCUGGUAAUACCGCAUAAGCGCACAAUGUUGCAUGACAUGGUGUGAAAAACUCCGGUGGUAUAAGAUGGACCCGCGUCUGAUUAGCUAGUUGGUGAGAUAACAGCCCACCAAGGCGACGAUCAGUAGCCGACCGGAGAGGGUGACCGGCCACAUUGGGACUGAGACACGGCCCAGACUCCUACGGGAGGCAGCAGUGGGGAAUAUUGCACAAUGGAGGAAACUCUGAUGCAGCGACGCCGCGUGAGUGAAGAAGUAAUUCGUUAUGUAAAGCUCUAUCAGCAGGGAAGAUAGUGACGGUACCUGACUAAGAAGCUCCGGCUAAAUACGUG